rfam:Cucumis melo, WGS project CAJI01000000 data, contig: 07261
CCUGGAUCCGUGAUGUUAAUGGAAAUCUGCGUUAUCUAUCUGUAAGUUCCUAUAUGGAGUUGAUGAUACCAUGAUUUCUGAGAUCCAAA